rnacentral:rRNA from 1 species
ACGUAGACGCUAUUCUCUAAGAUUAACCCAUGCAUGUUUUUGACAUUUGAAAAAUGGACUGCUCAGUAAUACUCACUUUAUUUUAUGUAAAUUUUUGAUUAACUACGUUAAAGUGUAGAUAAGAUGUUUACAGUAAGAGUGAGACCUAUCAGCUAGUUGUUAAGGUAAUGGCUUAACAAGGCUGUGACGGGUAACGGUAUUACUUUGUAAUAUUCCGGAGAAGGAGCCUGAGAGACGGCUACUAAGUCUAAGGAUUGCAGCAGGGGCGAAACUUGACCUAUGGAUUUUAUCUGAGGCAGUUAUGGGAAGUAAUAUUAUAUUGUUUCAUAUUUUAAAAGUAUAUGAGGUGAUUAAUUGGAGGGCAAAUCAAGUGCCAGCAGCCGCGGUAAUACUUGUUCCAAGAGUGUGUAUGAUGAUUGAUGCAGUUAAAAAGUCCGUAGUUUAUUUUUUUAAGAAGCAAUAUGAGGUGUACUGUAUAGUUGGGAGAAAGAUGAAAUGUGACGACCCUGACUGGACGAACAGAAGCGAAAGCUGUACACUUGUAUGUAUUUUUUGAACAAGGACGUAAGCUGGAGGAGCGAAGAUGAUUAGAUACCAUUGUAGUUCCAGCAGUAAACUAUGCCGACGAUGUGAUAUGGAAAUAUUAAUUUGUAUUACAUAAUAGAAAUUUGAGUUUUUUGGCUCUGGGGAUAGUAUGAUCGCAAGAUUGAAAAUUAAAGAAAUUGACGGAAGAAUACCACAAGGAGUGGAUUGUGCGGCUUAAUUUGACUCAACGCGAGGUAACUUACCAAUAUUUUAUUAUUUUGAGAGAACGGUUUUUUGUUUGAGAAUGAUAAUAGUGGUGCAUGGCCGUUUUCAAUGGAUGCUGUGAAGUUUUGAUUAAUUUCAACAAGACGUGAGACCCUUAUUUUUUAUUAAAGACAGACACAAUCAGUGUAGGAAGGAAAGGAUUAAAACAGGUCCGUUAUGCCCUCUGACAUUUUGGGCUGCACGCGCAAUACAAUAGAUAUAUAAUCUUUAUGGGAUAAUAUUUUGUAAGAGAUAUUUGAACUUGGAAUUGCUAGUAAAUUUUAUUAAAUAAGUAGAAUUGAAUGUGUCCCUGUUCUU